UGACCACCACUGUUCCCAGAAGGAGCCUGGGGGACACAUCCCUCUGGCUCGAUGCAGGGGCUCACCAGCUGCCACCCAAGGGAGGCGCCUCCUCCUCCCACAUGGCACAGCUCAGUCUGCCCCGGGGACAGUUUCCUUCUCUGAGUCUCAACUCAGAGAACAGAGAGCUCUGAGACAGCUGAGUGGGACGUGCAAACAUGCUGCUGCUGGCAGUGCUGGUGGCCACAACCACUUGGUCUUAUGGAUUUUCACAGGAAAUUCCCAUACAGACCCCUGUAUCCAUCACCAUGUCUCAAGGAACUGCACGUCUGCAAUGUCAUUUUAAAGAUGUCUCUGCAAAUUUUGAUAACACUGUCAUACACUGGUAUCAACAGAAGGAGAAUAGAGAACCAGUGAGAAUGCUCUACAUUUCAUCAGGGAGACCAAUAGUAGAAAACAGCUUCCAAAGAAACAGAUACAUGGUUCAAAAUCUUUCUAACCAGAAAAUUUGUAUUCUUAUAAUAAAAAAUAUAGGUCCAGAUGAUGCAGCCACCUACUAUUGUGCCUACUGGGACCCCCACUAUGGCAGAAACCCAGCGAUCACCUCGACCAAUACUCCCUUGGUGGCUCAACCACAAAUGAUUUGAAAGAUCCCAACUCACUUCCCCUGGCGUGGAUGAGCCGCCCAGCCUCAACACACAGGCUCUGCACAGCCGGGACUGGCUUAGUGCUGAGCCACUCCUUGGAGGGGUCAGCUGCCAAAAGCUGGGGAUUUUGACAGAGCAAGUGGCAGCUGCAAAGGGAAUGGUGAAAGUCAAAUGCCUAACCCAACCUCAGCACUUCCUCAUCCCCUUCCUUUGCUCAAGGGUGGCAGGGAACUGGUUGUAAGGAUUUCUUUACUGGAAAGGGGCAAUUUUCCAUGCUGCUAUUCCAGGAAAUAACAAAGCACAUUGU